UCUGCCCCUCCCCCACUCGUGCUCUGUCUCUGUCUCUCUCAAAAAUAAAUAAACAUUAAAAACAAAAAACAAAAACCACGUCACUCCAACCUCUGUGUGUGUUGUCAUGUCUCCUUUUCUGUCUGUGACUGUCCCCAGUGUGAUUACUUUGGACCCACCUGGAUAACCCAGGAUAAUAUUCCCAACUCACAAUGCUUAACACAUCCUCAAAGUCCCUUUUGCCAUGUGAGGGAACGUGCUCACAGGUCUGAGGGAUUGGAACAUGGACAUCUCUGAAGGGCCCUUAUUCUGUCUUUCUACAGAGACUCUCAACAAAGGGAUAACAUCUGAUCUACCUUAGAGAACACGAGUGCACGAGUUGGGGGAAGAGAAGGAAGAUCAACAGAGACCAUUCCAAUAGAGCAGUGAGCAAGCAGAGGUGCACUUGACCUUGACUGCUAUCCCUGAAGAGAUAAGAGGAAAAAGUGAUUGAGUCUCAGACUAUCCAACCAGACUGGUGCUACUGAUUCCCAGUAGGGUGCUUUUUCAGCCAUCCCAGGAUCAGACUUUGUAGGAACCGCCAGGGUCUGUAUGACUGUUCUGAAAGGAAGAGGCCAGGACUGGAAUGGAGGAGAAGAAGGAUAAGACUAAGGCUCUGGUCUGAUGUAGCAAGUCAAAGAAUGACUUGCCCUGAGAUUUCCAGUCCUAACCCUGGACUUUGUAAAGGUCACCUUUUCUAGCUUUUACCCUUGGGGAAAAGGGUCUUUGCAGGUGUGAGUACACUGAGGAUCUUCAGAUGAAAAGUUACCCUGUAUUACCAGCGUGGGCCACAACACCAUCACUGCUAUCUUUAUCAGAGAGAGGCAAAGGGAGGCAACACAGGCACACAAAGGGGGAGCUGGGGUGCAGAUGUGGCCGCAAGACAAGGAAUACUGCCAGCUGCCAGCGGCUGGAAGGGGUGAGGAGCAGAGUCUCCCUUUGAGCCUUUGAGCUUCCAGAGAGAGCGCAGCCCUACCCACGGCUUGAUUUUAGCCUUCUGGCCUCCAGAACUGCCUAUCUCUAUUGUUUUAAGAGGAUAAUUCGAUCGGGAUCAAUUUCUACUGUUUUAAGCCAUCCAGGUUAUAGUCAUCUGUUACAGCAACCCCAAGAAAUUGAUACACCUAGCGUGGACAAGAUUGUAGCCUACAGUCUGACCCAGAUGCCGGUAAAUCGACCAAACUGGAUUCUGGAAGCACACCUUCCAAUGUGGGGUGCCCCAGGCAAGCACAGGCAGGGGUGAAAUCUCACUCCUAAUUGUCCGGGGAACAAGAUGAAAAGAAACUAAGAAGGCCGCCCUAGCAGCCAGAGGACCCGGAUGACUUUAAGCCCCUUCCCCAUUUGCGCUGUCCCCACCGGCAGGAACCAGGAGCAAGGACCCCCCACCUCUGUGGGCGUAGCCCUCGUGCAGGGCCCCUGAAGACAGCUGUUGCUCUGUAUGGUUCAGGCCCGGGGACCGCUCACCUCCCCCUCAAAGUACACCCACCUGGGGCUGGCUCCAACUCCUUUAUGUCUGAUGCAGCAGAGAGUGGUGGAAAGCUACAGAGAAUGGACAAAACUCACAGACCAUCUGUUCAUCUUCUGUGUUUUGUGAAUUUAUUUUCAAAUGUUAAGCAUUUGAUAGCAGUUGUCAGGCAUUAUCUCCAAAGCUACCAUUUGGAUAAAGAUAUCCUCUUAAAUAUCCAGGAGAAUCACUCAGAGAUCAGUGAUUCUCCAGGGUUUGGAAGAAAGGAUUUCAGGAAGAAAAGCCAGACCAAGUCUUGCUGAAAGGACGGUGUAGGAAACGGAGAAAUUUCUCAAUCAAGAAUCACAGGCUCUGGGAUGAAAGCCUAUGGAUAUCUCCUGGCCUUGGAGCCAGGCAGAUAAGCCAAGUGCAUGAAGCAUUCCAGGGGGGAAAAUCCAAGUGUUGUGAGCCAAGAGUUCUUGACUGGAAGAGUACCUUGUCCUGUCUGAUGUGAGCAACCACUGUGGUGUCCUCUCCCAGGGACAAUGUGCGGGAAUACAGGCCGGUAAUGCCAUAUUUUCCCAUUCCUCCAGAAAAGCUGGAAGUCUGGAUUUUUAUGUAAAACAUCCUGAUUUUAUUUUUAUUUUUUUAUUUUUUAAAACAUCCUGAUUUUAAAAUAUGGGCCACGAAUUCUAAUUUUUUGAACCUCUAGGCUAUGCAAAUAAAAUAUGCCCAUUCGAUACUGAUUUCAAGCAGGCCACAAGCUUGAAACCUCUAAUGUACAAGAUCAAUGGGCACAUAUUUUCAGCCCUUUUAAAAGAAUGCUGAGGGUAUUUUAUUUGCAGAACUCAUUAACUGGACACUAUUAUAACAACGUAUUAUAAUAAUGUAAAUACUAUAGUAAUUUAACAUUUACAGCGUGUCAAGCCCUAUCCUGGGGCUUUACUGUAAUAACUCACUUGACCCUCACAACAACCCUACAAGGUAGGGACCAUUAGUUUUGCCAUUUUACAGAGGAGGAAGCUGAAAGCUCAGAGGUUAAGGAACUUGCCGUAGAUAAGACAGCAGGUGGAAGAGCCAGAUUUUGAAUGCGGGCUGCCUUUAAAAAUUUGUGAUGAGGGAAAAAAAGAAAAAAGAAUUGUGAUGAGGGGCACCUGGGUGGCUCAGUCGGUUAAACGUCCAACUCUUGGUUUUGACUCAGGUCAUG